rnacentral:rRNA from 1 species
GACGAACGCUGGCGGCGUGCUUAACACAUGCAAGUCGAACGGAAAGGCCCUGCUUUUGUGGGGUGCUCGAGUGGCGAACGGGUGAGUAACACGUGAGUAACCUGCCCUUGACUUUGGGAUAACUUCAGGAAACUGGGGCUAAUACCGGAUAGGAGCUCCUGCUGCAUGGUGGGGGUUGGAAAGUUUCGGCGGUUGGGGAUGGACUCGCGGCUUAUCAGCUUGUUGGUGGGGUAGUGGCUUACCAAGGCUUUGACGGGUAGCCGGCCUGAGAGGGUGACCGGCCACAUUGGGACUGAGAUACGGACCAGACUCCAACGGGAGGCAGCAGUGGGGAGUAUUGCACAAUGGGCGGAAGCCUGAUACGGCAGCCCCGCGUGCGGGAUGACGGCCUUCGGGUUGUAAACCGCUUUCGCCUGUGACGAUGCGUGAGUGACGGUAAUGGGUAAAGAAGCACCGGCUAACUACGUG